UACGUAGGGGGCAAGCGUUGUCCGGAUUUAUUGGGCGUAAAGAGCGUGUAGGCGGCCAGGUAGGUCCGCUGUGAAAACUCGAGGCUCAACCUCGAGAUGUCGGCGGAAACCAUCUGGCUAGAGUCCGGAAGAGGAAAGUGGAAUUCCCGGUGUAGCGGUGAAAUGCGCAGAUAUCGGGAAGAACACCCGUGGCGAAGGCGGCUUUCUGGCCUGUUCUUGACGCUGAGGCGCGAAAGCUAGGGGAGCGAACGGG
rnacentral:rRNA from 1 species